UGGCCUAUACUGCCAGUCGAGCGAACUGAUUAGAAGCUUGCUUCUAUGACGUUAGCGGCGGACGGGUGAGUAACACGUGGGCAACCUGCCUGUAAGACUGGGAUAACUUCGGGAAACCGAAGCUAAUACCGGAUAGGAUCUUCUCCUUCAUGGGAGAUGAUUGAAAGAUGGUUUCGGCUAUCACUUACAGAUGGGCCCGCGGUGCAUUAGCUAGUUGGUGAGGUAACGGCUCACCAAGGCAACGAUGCAUAGCCGACCUGAGAGGGUGAUCGGCCACACUGGGACUGAGACACGGCCCAGACUCCUACGGGAGGCAGCAGUAGGGAAUCUUCCGCAAUGGACGAAAGUCUGACGGAGCAACGCCGCGUGAGUGAUGAAGGCUUUCGGGUCGUAAAACUCUGUUGUUAGGGAAGAACAAGUACGAGAGUAACUGCUCGUACCUUGACGGUACCUAACCAGAAAGCCACGGCUAACUACGUGCCAGCAGCCGCGGUAAUACGUAGGUGGCAAGCGUUAUCCGGAAUUAUUGGGCGUAAAGCGCGCGCAGGCGGUUUCUUAAGUCUGAUGUGAAAGCCCACGGCUCAACCGUGGAGGGUCAUUGGAAACUGGGGAACUUGAGUGCAGAAGAGAAAAGCGGAAUUCCACGUGUAGCGGUGAAAUGCGUAGAGAUGUGGAGGAACACCAGUGGCGAAGGCGGCUUUUUGGUCUGUAACUGACGCUGAGGCGCGAAAGCGUGGGGAGCAAACAGGGAUUAGAA
rnacentral:rRNA from 2 species